rnacentral:rRNA from 1 species
GACAGAGGGUGCAAACGUUGCUCGGAAUCACUGGGCGUAAAGGGCGUGUAGGCGGGAAGGCAAGUCAGAUGUGAAAUCCCUGGGCUCAACCCAGGAACUGCAUUUGAAACUCCCUUUCUUGAGUGUCGGAGAGGAAAGUGGAAUUCCUGGUGUAGAGGUGAAAUUCGUAGAUAUCAGGAGGAACACCGGUGGCGAAGGCGGCUUUCUGGACGACAACUGACGCUGAGACGCGAAAGCGUGGGGAGCAAACAGG